GUGGGCACCGAUGAUAGAUCACGUGAGACCUGGGCGCGGGUCACGGGAAUGCUGCCGGUCUGCCGGCUGUUCUUGUUGAGUUUGGUCCUCAGUGGGCCAUGGCCAACGUCUCUAAGAAAGUGUCUUGGUCCGGCCGAGAUCGCGAUGAUGAGGAGGGGGCGCCACUGCUUCGAAGGACAGGGCAGCCUGACGAGGAGACGCCGCUGCUGAACGGAGCUGGGCCGGGCGCGCGCCAGUCUCAUUCUGCACUGUUCCGAAUCGGACAGAUGAACAACGUGGAGCUGGAUGACGAGCUCCUGGACCCGGAAGUCGAUCCUCCUCACACCUUCCCCAAGGAGAUUCCACACAACGAGAAGCUCCUCUCCCUCAAGUAUGAGAGCCUGGACUAUGACAACAGCGAGAAUCAGCUCUUCCUGGAGGAGGAAAGACGAAUCAACCACACGGCUUUCCGGACAGUGGAGAUCAAGCGCUGGGUUAUCUGUGCCCUCAUUGGAAUCCUCACAGGCCUAGUAGCCUGCUUCAUUGACAUUGUAGUGGAGAACCUGGCAGGCCUCAAGUACCGCGUCAUCAAGGACAACAUUGACAAGUUCACAGAGAAGGGCGGCCUGUCCUUCUCCCUCCUGCUGUGGGCCACGCUGAACUCUGCCUUCGUACUCGUGGGGUCUGUGAUCGUGGCCUUCAUAGAGCCUGUUGCUGCUGGCAGCGGAAUCCCUCAGAUCAAGUGCUUCCUCAAUGGGGUGAAGAUCCCCCACGUGGUGCGGCUCAAGACGCUGGUGAUCAAGGUGUCCGGCGUGAUUCUGUCUGUGGUAGGGGGACUGGCUGUGGGAAAGGAAGGGCCAAUGAUCCACUCAGGAUCCGUGAUAGCUGCAGGGAUUUCACAGGGAAGGUCAACAUCACUCAAGCGAGAUUUCAAGAUCUUUGAAUAUUUCCGCAGAGAUACAGAGAAGCGGGAUUUUGUCUCAGCUGGAGCUGCAGCUGGUGUAUCUGCUGCAUUUGGAGCCCCUGUGGGUGGGGUCCUGUUUAGCUUGGAAGAGGGCGCCUCCUUCUGGAAUCAGUUCCUGACUUGGAGAAUUUUCUUUGCUUCCAUGAUUUCCACCUUUACAUUGAAUUUUGUUCUGAGCAUCUACCAUGGAAAUAUGUGGGACCUGUCCAGCCCUGGCCUCAUAAAUUUUGGAAGAUUUGACUCAGAGAAAAUGGCCUACACCAUCCAUGAGAUUCCAGUCUUCAUCGCCAUGGGUGUGGUGGGUGGCAUUCUUGGAGCUGUGUUCAAUGCCUUGAAUUACUGGCUAACCAUGUUUCGAAUCAGGUACAUCCACCGGCCCUGCCUCCAAGUGAUUGAGGCCAUGCUGGUGGCUGCUGUCACAGCAACAGUUGCGUUUGUCUUGAUUUACUCGUCUCGAGAUUGCCAACCCCUGCAGGGGAGCUCCAUGUCCUACCCACUCCAGCUCUUCUGUGCAGAUGGCGAAUACAACUCCAUGGCCGCAGCCUUCUUUAACACCCCUGAGAAGAGCGUUGUCAGCCUGUUCCAUGACCCACCAGGCUCCUAUAAUCCCAUGACUCUCGGCCUGUUUACCCUGGUCUACUUCUUCCUGGCCUGCUGGACCUAUGGCCUCACAGUAUCUGCUGGUGUCUUCAUCCCAUCCCUGCUCAUUGGGGCUGCCUGGGGCCGACUCUUUGGCAUCUCCCUGUCCUACCUCACAGGGGCAGCGAUCUGGGCAGAUCCGGGUAAAUACGCCCUGAUGGGAGCUGCUGCUCAGCUUGGUAAGCCCCAGCUCUUGCCUUCUUUGGUGGGAUCGUGAGAAUGACCCUUAGCCUGACAGUCAUCAUGAUGGAGGCCACCAGCAACGUGACCUACGGUUUCCCCAUCAUGUUGGUGCUGAUGACUGCCAAGAUUGUGGGUGAUGUUUUCAUUGAGGGCCUCUAUGACAUGCACAUCCAGCUGCAGAGUGUACCCUUCCUACACUGGGAAGCCCCGGUCACCUCACACUCGCUCACGGCCAGGGAAGUAAUGAGCACACCUGUGACCUGCCUGAGGAGGCGAGAGAAGGUUGGCAUCAUCGUGGAUGUCCUAAGCGACACAGCGUCUAAUCACAACGGAUUCCCUGUGGUGGAGGAUGUAGGAGACACCCAGCCAGCCAGGCUCCAAGGCUUGAUCCUGCGUUCCCAGCUUAUCGUUCUCUUGAAGCAUAAGGUGUUUGUGGAGAGGUCCAACAUGGGUUUGGUGCAGCGGCGACUGAGGCUGAAGGACUUCCGAGAUGCCUAUCCACGCUUCCCCCCAAUCCAGUCCAUUCAUGUAUCCCAGGAUGAGCGUGAAUGCACCAUGGACCUUUCUGAAUUCAUGAACCCUUCUCCCUACACUGUGCCUCAGGAGGCAUCUCUUCCUCGAGUGUUCAAGCUCUUCCGGGCUCUGGGCCUGAGGCACCUGGUAGUAGUAGACAACCACAAUCAGGUGGUCGGGCUGGUGACCAGGAAGGACCUAGCAAGAUACCGCCUAGGAAAGGGAGGCCUAGAAGAGCUUUCGCUGGCCCAGACGUGAGGGCUGGCCCCCCAGCCUUGGACAGCAGUACCCCAGCCCCUCUGCACCUCCUCCCAGGGUCCCUGAUCUCAGCCAAAGCCUUGCCCCCUAGGCAGUGCAGCAACAGGAGCAAAUGCCCUCCCUAGGCUUGGCUGGUGUGGGGGCCAGACCCUUUGUCCUGGGCAGUUGGUUUCAGUCAUCAGCACUUUCCCUAUUCCCUGACCCUCCAGGCCUCAGACUUGCCCCACUCCUGGUUCCUUCUCCCAGGAUGAAGUGUGUGUUAUCACACCCCUUGUGGCUCACUUCUGAGAGCCAAUAGAGUGUGUGUGAGAAAGACAGACGUGAGCUACUACUUACUGCUGUCUCUGCUCAGACUCUGAGCCCUUCUCACCCUGUGUCUGCAUUGCUCACACAGCCAGGGGCUUCAGUAGCAGGGCAUGGGGAGCUAUACAGCCUGGAGCAGGCUCUGUCAGGGAACCCACAUGUGCCACACAUGCCGCCCUGCAUCUUUGUCCAGAAGAUGGGGAGACUGGUUCUGUACCUGGGGCUUGUGAUCUGAAAAUCACAUGAAGACUGAAAUUGAAUUCACCAACAUCUGCCCUAGGCUUUCAGACCUGGGGUCAUGGCCCUGGACCACAGCCAGAAGGCAGGUCUUUUUGAGGCCCUUAGGUCCCUGGGGUCCAUAGUAGCUUGCUUACUACUGUACUGUGUGGUAUGCCCUUGGGAAGUGGCCUCCCAGGGCCUGGCCAUCCUGGGGUAGCCCUAGGAUGGAUAGACCCGUGAGCACCAGAGCCAAGGAACUUCACCCCUGAACCCUGUGUUGUCAAAGCUGGCCCCACUGACAUCCUUCACUCACCUUCAGGGUCUUCUCCCCUGGGAACUUUGUAAAGAUAGUUGCAGUGUCUCUGGCACAAGUCUGUUAUAAGGUCACACAGGGUCUUUCUUUGGAAAGCUGGCAGCUCCUGCCUUUCAGUUGUCCCUCCAAAAGAGCGGCUCUUCCUUCCAUGAAGAGAUGGGCUAAGUAUGUUGAAUCUGGAAUGAGAAAUGAGAGCCCCCUGUUCUCUGCCUUGGGCUCAGCAUUCUGGGGAGUCAGGCACUCAGCAUGGUGAUAAACAAGUGCAGAUGGCACUUUAAACAGUAGUUGCUGUCUGUGUCGGGCAGUGGUGCAGUUCUUGAAGAGUACUGCAGCCAGCCCAGGGCCCAGUGGGAGGGCCGUCCAGGGACUCUGGCCUUCUCGUCCCAUCUCAGACUUGCUCUCAGACUCACUGCAGAGCAUGGGUUCUGUGACCUGCUUGGAUGGCAUCCUGUCCUCAAGCCUGGCCACAGCAGGCUCUUCAAGAAGUUAAAACUGACCCAUCUGGUAUAGAGGUCCAAGUGACAACGCCAGGGGUGCUCUGGACCGGGAAGGGCCAUUCCUAAAGUUGGACCCAAGGGGUGAAAAACACUGCACAGGGUCUCAAAGACUUGGUACCAAAAAAGGCACGUGCAAUCUGUCCACGGCUAUGCAGUCUGUCCACAGCUGUGUGCUGACUACAUGCUGAAAUGAUAUUUUUGGAUAUAUUAGGUUAAAUAAAACAAUCAAAAUUUGUC